rnacentral:rRNA from 1 species
GACGAACCGUACGAACGUUAUUCGGAAUCACUGGGCUUAAAGGGUGCGUAGGCUGCGCAGCAAGUUGGGUGUGAAAUCCCUCGGCUUAACCGAGGAACUGCGCCCAAAACUGCUGUGCUCGAGGGAGAUAGAGGUGAGCGGAACUUAGGGUGGAGCGGUGAAAUGCGUUGAUAUCCUAAGGAACACCGGUGGCGAAAGCGGCUACACUGGAUCUCUUCUGACGCUGAGGCACGAAAGCUAGGGUAGCGAACGGG